rnacentral:rRNA from 1 species
UACGGAGGUUCCAAGCGUUGUUCGGAAUUACUGGGCGUAAAGGGAGCGCAGGCGGAUAGGUCAGUUUAAAGUGGAAUCCCAGGGCUCAACCCUGGACGUGCUUUGGAUACUGCCUAUCUUGAGUUCGUGAGAGGAAAGUGGAAUUCAGGGUGUAGCGGUGAAAUGCUUAGAUAUCCUGAGGAACACCAGUGGCGAAAGCGACUUUCUGGCACGAAACUGACGCUGAGGCUCGAAAGCGUGGGUAGCGAACGGGAUUAGAUACCCCCGUAGUCC